rnacentral:lncRNA from 1 species
CUCCUGUCUGCAGGAUUUACGCGCACGUUGGAACCGAAGAGAGCUCUGUUGUUGCAAUGUUCAGCCCACAAGAGCUUACUGGUGAAGGAAUGGGACAAGACCCAUCUUUAUGCAAAGCCAGCGUUACAGUAAUGUUCCAGCAUCUCAUAAUCUAUCCUGGGGAAUUCAGCUGCCUCCCAGGGUGAAUACAGGUAUUCCUGAUGACAGUCUGCCUCUAUCUUACAGAGCAGCUUGUUGCUAUAUACCAUUGAAAAGCCUUCAGAGCUGAGAGGUUAGUUGAUAUUUUUUGUUCCUUACAGCUUAUGCCACCAAGUAGGCAGUUUCUAUGAUGAAUCAAACUAGCUCACUAUGACCGACAGUGAAAAUACAUGAACACCUGAGAAACUGGAGAACGCAGGGAGUGGGGGGUAACCAUGUCUGAGGAAUCUUUCACCCACAGCUUUGUUUUUCUCUAGGUACUACUAACCAAUAACCUGCUUGGCUCAAAGGGCCAGCACCUUCUCUCUAAAGCCCAAGAGGAGUUUGAGGUAAA